rnacentral:rRNA from 1 species
UUAAAUCUCAUUACUUUCUCAUAAUCCAACAAUUCUACUAAGCUAUUCUAUACUUUUAUAGAAAAAUUUAUGUUAGGACUAGUAACACAGAAUUUUUCUCUUACAUGUAAGUUUAAAUCAACCCGAAUACCUCCUUGAUAAUUAUUCAAAUUUGAACCUUAAGUAGUACCUCUACCCCUUACAAAAACCCUACUUAACUUAUUGUUAAUCAAACAUAUGGGCAUGAAAGAAAGAUUAAAAAAUUAAGAAGGAACUCGGCAAACACAAGUCCCGCCUGUUUACCAAAAACAUCGCCUUUUGAAUAUUAUAAAAGGUAACGCCUGCCCAGUGACAAUAUGUUAAAUGGCCGCGGUAUUCUGACCGUGCGAAGGUAGCGUAAUCACUUGUCUUUUAAAUGAAGACUCGUAUGAAAGGCAUCACGAGAACUUAGCUGUCUCCUUAAUCUAAUCAGUGAAACUGAUCCCCCUGUAAAAAAGCAGGAAUGACCACAUAAGACGAGAAGACCCUAUGGAGCUUUAAACAUAAGCUACUUCUAUACUCUACUAAUUUAUAGUACUAUAAUACAAACCUAGCCUAAGUUUUCUGUUGGGGCGGCUGUGGAGAAAAACUUAUCCUCCAUGAAGAAAAAACUUUGAUCUACCGCUCUUAGUAUUAGCAAGCCUAACUUAAAUUGAUCCAAUUUUUGAUCAACGGACCAAGUUACCCUAGGGAUAACAGCGCAAUCCAUUUCAAGAGUCCCUAUCGACAAAUGGGUUUACGACCUCGAUGUUGGAUUAGGACAUCCUAGUGGUGUAGCCGCUACUAAUGGUUCG